CCAGUCAGUCUUUUUCAGGAUUAUUUCUAUGGGCAUUCUGAUGCGUGUAUUAUACCCUAAAGGAACAUAAAGUACUUACUAUAUUAAAAUAGACAUAUCUCAAACCCUGGACAUAGUUUUAAGGCUUUCCAGUUUAGAAUAGUUUUCAAGAAAUGGAAGGUGUUUUCAGUCUGAUGUUAAAAACUUACUCCAUCUCUUAGCAGAAAUCCAUUCAAACAUAAGUGAAAAAACUUGCUGGUAAUAGCAUCUUAAACUUUUAUUUCCUUUAAAUUUUUUGCUGUUCUUGUUGUCUAAAAGUUCUUUUCUAUUCUCC
rnacentral:lncRNA from 1 species